rfam:Mariprofundus ferrooxydans PV-1 scf_1099921033918 genomic scaffold, whole genome shotgun sequence.
GGAGUGGUAGUUCAGUUGGUUAGAAUGCCGGCCUGUCACGCCGGAGGUCGCGGGUUCGAGUCCCGUCCGCUCCG